rnacentral:rRNA from 1 species
AACGAACGCUGGCGGCAUGCCUAACACAUGCAAGUCGAACGAGACCUUCGGGUUUAGUGGCGCACGGGUGCGUAACGCGUGGGAACCUGCCCUUAGGUUCGGAAUAACUCCCCGAAAGGGGUGCUAAUACCGGAUAAUGUCUUCGGACCAAAGAUUUAUCGCCUUUGGAUGGGCCCGCGUUGGAUUAGCUAGUUGGUAGGGUAAAAGCCUACCAAGGCGACGAUCCAUAGCUGGUCUGAGAGGAUGAUCAGCCACACUGGGACUGAGACACGGCCCAGACUCCUACGGGAGGCAGCAGUGGGGAAUAUUAGACAAUGGGCGAAAGCCUGAUCCAGCAAUGCCGCGUGAGUGAUGAAGGCCUUAGGGUUGUAAAGCUCUUUUACCCGGGAUGAUAAUGACAGUACCGGGAGAAGAAGCUCCGGCUAACUCCGUG